UUUUUAUUGUGUUCAUCAUAUCUCACAAGAUACUUUCAAUUUGUUGAAAUAAGGAUGAAAACCAAGUUGUUUGUCUCUGUGUGCUUCUAUGCAUUACUUCUCAUAUUUCUUGUGGCAAUUAUGCCUUCCGAAGGUAAACAAUCUGGUGAAACAAAAAAAUCAAAGAUAAAUAUUGGGGUACAUGGAUAUGCAAACUGGGCAGAGGUACAAUAUUGCAAGGGGGCGAUUGAAACUUACUUUUGGUUGAAAUUUGAUCUAGUUUCAAAAUAGCAUUAGUCUUUGCACUUUCAGUACUUUUUAUUAUUGGUCCUUGCAUUUUUUGAAAAACUUUAAAUAAUAUUAUUAUAUUUUAUUAUCAUCCUGUUCAUUAUUUUUAUUGAGAAUAAUUAUAAAGAAAUAAAAUUAAAAAAAAAUCCUUUUUAAAUGAACAAAAAUGAUUUUAUAAUUAUUCUUUUAAAAAAUAAUUGGUCCACAGGAUUAUGUUUCUUUAACGAGAUAAAAAGAUUUUUUAAAUUAUCCUUUAAAAGAUUUAAUUUUAUGUUUUUCUUUUAUUUUUCUAUUUUUUUAAAUUUUUCUUAAUAAAAAGCUUUAAUUUUUUAAUGAACAAAAAUGAUUUUUAUCGAAAAGUACAGGGAUUAAUAUCAAAAAGUACCGAAAGUGCAGGGACAUGAUAUGUUUAAAUCAAAAAAUAAUGAAUAAAAUAAUAGAUAAAAAGUUGAUUUUUUUUUUGUCUUUUGGUGUGCCAUGUGGUGUGGAUGAUUGUUCCACGUGGCACUAGGGAUGGCAAUUGGACCUAGACUCGAUGGAUAACUGCAAAAAAUACUUGCAAUGGGUAGGAUAAAACCCCACUUUCAUGGGUCCGGGCUUGGGUCUAGAUAAUUACUCGUAAAUUUAAAUGGGUAAGGGCACGGGUAAGGUACUACACUACUCAGGCCAGCAACCCAAAUAUGAUAAAUAAUUUAUGUAUUUUUGGUGUAUAAUUAAUUAAUUUAUUUAGCUAUUUAAGCCUAAA